rnacentral:rRNA from 1 species
AAUGAACGCUGGCGGCAGGCCUAACACAUGCAAGUCGAGCGGUUAAAGCUCCUUCGGGAGUGUAUAAAGCGGCAAACGGGUGAGUAACACGUGGGAACAUACCUUUCAGUCUGGGAUAGCCGUUGGAAACGACGAAUAAUACCGGAUACGCAUUACGAUGGAAAGAUUUAUCGCUGAAAGAAUGGCCCGCGGCAGAUUAGCUAGUUGGUGAGGUAAUGGCUCACCAAGGCAACGAUCUGUAGCUGGUUUGAGAGAAUGAUCAGCCACACUGGGACUGAGAUACGGCCCAGACUCCUACGGGAGGCAGCAGUGAGGAAUAUUGGACAAUGGGCGCAAGCCUGAUCCAGCCAUGCCGCGUGAGUGAUGAAGGCCUUAGGGUUGUAAAGCUCUUUUAGUGGGGAAGAUAAUGACGGUACCCACAGAAAAAGCCCCGGCUAACUUCGUGCCAGCCGCCGCAGUAA